UAAGUCCAAUCUGCCCAAUGAUUUUAUUUAAUGGCUGCAGUAUUUAUAACUGUACAAAGGUAGCAUAAUAAUUAGUUUUUUAAUUGAAAACUAGAAUGAAAGAUUAAAUGAAAUAUAUACUAUAUAAAUAAAAUUAAAAAUUAAAAUUAAAAUUUAAGUAAAAAUUCUUAAAUUAAUUUAAAAGACGAGAAGACCCUAUAGAAUUUUAUUUUUAAUUGUUUUAAAAUUUAUUAAUAAAUUUAAAUAAAUAAUUAAAAAUUUAAUUGGGGUAAUUAUAAAAUUUAAUUAAUUUUUAUUUUUUAAACAUAAAUUAAUGAAUUUUUAAUUUUA
rnacentral:rRNA from 1 species